rnacentral:lncRNA from 1 species
AUCACAUCAGUUUUGGUUGUAAUUUGUAUCACAUCCUAAAACCAUAAAGUAACCAUAUAUCGUUUGGAUUUGGGUUAUAUUGGUUUGGUUGGGAUAUAUUCGAAGUUAAAUCCAAAAUUUGAAAGCAAAACAUAAGAAAAUAAAUACAUGUUUAUAUAGAAUUGGGUAAUCAGGGUACUCAUUUAAAAUUUAAAUACUUAUUUUUAGUUUUCAUUUUAAAACAAAUUUUUAAUUGAAUAUUUGAAGUACAUAUUUAUUUUUCAAAUAUUUAUAUUUUUGAUUAAUUUGGACAUUCAAAUCUGUUAUCGGUUCUUUUCGCGUUAUUCAUUGGGGUUCGGCUAAUGACACUUCGGGUUCGAAUAUGUUUUGUACCACCCUUCAAAAUCCAUUCAGCUAUUUCUUACAUUUCUGACCGGGUACGGAUCGGUUUUUGGUUUGGGUUUGAUUCGAGGUGGCUCCUAAAAAGUAGGGACGAGUGGUGAGAACAAGCUCCGUUAACAAAGUCGCAAGGGCAACUUCGUCCUACUCUUCGAGACGGAACCCAUGGAUGAAGUACGAGACUCUUCAGGAAGGAACGCCCCCAACAACUACUUUGACGGCGUCCUCCCUUAGCUUUUAAUUUUUUAAUUUUUUUAUUAUAAAUUUAAAUAUAACUUUAUGACAUUUAUAUAAUUUUUACAAAAAAAAUAUUUUAAUUUUCAACAUUUCAUUUUAUAGUUUGAAUUUUUAAAUUUUGAAUCUUUUGUAAUAUUAUAAUAAUACGACAAUGAGAUGUAAGUUCC